rnacentral:rRNA from 1 species
CCUGACAUACUAAGAACUUUCCAGAGAUGGAUUGGUGCCUUCGGGAACUUAGAUACAGGUGCUGCAUGGCUGUCGUCAGCUCGUGUCGUGAGAUGUUGGGUUAAGUCCCGNAACGAGCGCAACCCUUUUCCUUAUUUGCCAGCGGGUCAUGCCGGGAACUUUAAGGAUACUGCCAGUGACAAACUGGAGGAAGGCGGGGACGACGUCAAGUCAUCAUGGCCCUUACGGCCAGGGCUACACACGUGCUACAAUGGUCGGUACAAAGGGUUGCUACCUCGCGAGAGGAUGCUAAUCUCAAAAAGCCGAUCGUAGUCCGGAUCGCAGUCUGCAACUCGACUGCGUGAAGUCGGAAUCGCUAGUAAUCGCGGAUCAGAAUGCCGCGGUGAAUACGUUCCCGGGCCUUGUACACACCGCCCGUCACACCAUGGGAGUUUGUUGCACCAGAAGUAGGUAGUCUAACCGCAAGGAGGACGCUUACCACGGUGUGGCCGAUGACUGGGGUGAAGUCGUAACAAGGUAGGCGUAGAUGA